GAGUUUGAUCGUGGCUCAGGAUGAACGCUGGCGGCGUGCCUAACACAUGCAAGUCGAACGGGGAUGUUUCGCUGAUGAGGCUUCGGCCAAAAUCUUGGAGCAUCCUAGUGGCGGACGGGUGAGUAACGCGUGGGCAACCUGCCUUACACUGGGGGAUAACACUUAGAAAUAGGUGCUAAUACCGCAUAAGCGCACAGCUUUGCAUGAAGCAGUGUGAAAAACUCCGGUGGUGUAAGAUGGACCCGCGUCUGAUUAGCUGGUUGGUGGGUAAAGGCCCACCAAGGCGACGAUCAGUAGCCGGCCUGAGAGGGUGGACGGCCACAUUGGGACUGAGACACGGCCCAAACUCCUACGGGAGGCAGCAGUGGGGAAUAUUGCACAAUGGGGGAAACCCUGAUGCAGCGACGCCGCGUGAGUGAAGAAGUAUUUCGGUAUGUAAAGCUCUGUCAGCA
rnacentral:rRNA from 1 species